GACGAACGCUGGCGGCGUGCUUAACACAUGCAAGUCGAACGGUGAAGCGCUUGCCUUUUUGGUGGGUGUGGAUGAGUGGCGAACGGGUGAGUAACACGUGAGUAACCUGCCCUCUUCUUCUGGAUAACCUCAUGAAAGUGGGGCUAAUACGGGGUAUUCCGGGUCUGUCGCAUGGCGGGUUUGGGAAAGAUUGCGCCUUUGGGUGUUUUCGGUGGGGGAUGGGCUCGCGGCCUAUCAGCUUGUGGGUGGGGUGAUGGCCUACCAAGGCGGUGACGGGUAGCCGGCCUGAGAGGGUGGACGGCCACACUGGGACUGAGACACGGCCCAGACUCCUGCGAGAGGCAGCAGUGGGGAAUGUUGCGAAAUGGGCGCAAGCCUGAUGCAGCGACGCCGCGUGAGGGAUGGAGGCCUUCGGGUUGUGAACCUCUUUCGCCAGUGAAGCAGGCCUGCUCCUGUGUGGGUGGGUUGACGGUAGCUGGAUAAGAAGCGCCGGCUAACUACGUG
rnacentral:rRNA from 1 species